AGGACGAACGCUGGCGGCGUGCCUAACACAUGCAAGUCGAGCGGGGACAUGCGACGGAUAGGAAGUUUCGGAUGGACUUGAAGAUGCAUUGUCUAGCGGCGGACGGGUGAGUAACGCGUGAGCAACCUGUCCCUUACAGGGGGAUAACACAGCGAAAGUUGUACUAAUACCGCAUAAGACCACGGGAGGACAUCCUUCAGGGGGUCAAAGGAGGAAUCCGGUAAGGGGUGGGCUCGCGUCCGAUUAGAUAGUUGGUGGGGUAACGGCCCACCAAGUCGACGAUCGGUAGCCGACCUGAGAGGGUGAUCGGCCACAUUGGGACUGAGACACGGCCCAAACUCCUACGGGAGGCAGCAGUGGGGAAUAUUGGGCAAUGGGGGAAACCCUGACCCAGCAACGCCGCGUGAGGGAAGAAGGUUUUCGGAUCGUAAAGCUCUGUUGUAAGGGAAGAAUGGCAGGGAAAGAAUCUCUGAGUGACGGUACCUUACCAGAAAGCCACGGCUAACUACGUGCCAGCAGCCGC
rnacentral:rRNA from 1 species